AACGAACGCUGGCGGCAUGCCUAACACAUGCAAGUCGAACGAGACCUUCGGGUCUAGUGGCGCACGGGUUCGUAACGCGUGGGAACCUGCCCUUAGGUUCGGAAUAACUCCCCGAAAGGGGUGCUAAUACCGGAUCAUGUCUUCGGACCAACGAUUUAUCGCCUUUGGAUGGGCCCGCGUUGGAUUAGCUAGUUGGUAGGGUAAAAGCCUACCAAGGCGACGAUCCAUAGCUGGUCUGAGAGAAUGAUCAGCCACACUGGGACUGAGACACGGCCCAGACUCGUACGGGAGGCAGCAGUGGGGAAUAUUGGACAGUGGGCGAAAGCCUGAUCCAGCAAUGCCGCGAGAGUGAUGAGGGCCUUAGGGAUGUAAAGCUCUUUUACCCGGGAUGAUAAUGACAGUACCGGGAGAAUAAGCUCCGGCUAACUCCGUG
rnacentral:rRNA from 1 species